UACGUAGGGUGCAGGCGUUAAUCGGAAUUACUGGGCGUAAAGCGUGCGCAGGCGGUUUUGUAAGUCUGUCGUGAAAGCCCCGGGCUUAACCUGGGAAUUGCGAUGGAGACUGCAAGGCUUGAAUCUGGCAGAGGGGGGUAGAAUUCCACGUGUAGCAGUGAAAUGCGUAGAGAUGUGGAGGAACACCGAUGGCGAAGGCAGCCCCCUGGGUCAAGAUUGACGCUCAUGCACGAAAGCGUGGGGAGCAAACAGG
rnacentral:rRNA from 1 species